rnacentral:lncRNA from 1 species
GGACCCUGCUCUUACUCCUGAUGAUUAUGUAAUGUACUGAUGUGACACUGAUGUAGCUUGUGGCGAGUGUAAACCAACUCAUUAUAUAUCUCUUCUCUUCAGUACAUGUACUUGUAACGAUACCCAUUCUUGCGACACGACGAGAUGCGCUUCUAUCCCUGACGAGGCCUUCGUGCCAAAUUAAGGAUAGGGUCGCAUCUUGGGCGUGACAAGUUGGUAUCAGAGCAAGGACCGACCUAGGAGCCCCCUUGAUUGAUCGAACUUGGCCGAGUCGAGUCUAGUGAAAAACUAUUUGAGUCUAGUUAUAUAUCGGAGAGUAGGAUUCUUUUUUCUCCUCUUCUAUGCUCUCGUGAGGAAUCUUGGCGUAAUAAUUUAUUCUACUCCUCUUCUCACUCAAAUUUUUUUUAGGAUCACGCGGAUAUUUUUGGAAUCUAUAUGAUGCCGAUGUGAUGGAGUUCUGUCUUGGUGCCUCCUGUGUUACUUGAUUUUCUUCCGGGGAGUUGAGCUCCAGGGGAUUCUUGAACACAUCGUUAUCAUUCAGAUUUCUUAGUAUCUCAGAAUGAAGGAUGUUCGUAAUUGCUUCAAUACUAGUAGUGGCGAGAUAACCCCGAUGUCCCCAGUACUGGUGCAAAUUGUUCGGGGGUACUGCCAUACUUUGUAUCGUUGUGAUCACGAGGGUCUGUUGUAGAUGAAGGUCCGAGAUUCUGGUCGUGUGUUGACGGAUGUGAUACAGGUGACGGGUUAGUAUAGGAGUUGUGUGAUAUUACUCCUUGUAUCCGUGUAACAGAUUGCAUGACCAGAUAUUUCGGAAAUUCAUAGGUGGGAAGUCAAGUAGUUUCUUAUAGGGCAAUCUUCCAACAAAUGCAUGAUGUUAGAUUGGGGUUCGACAUCUAGUGGAUUCGUUUGUUCACGGUCAACUUACAGCGGUACACGUUGUGUCUUAAAGAGUCCUUAUAGCUUGUUACGACUCGGGGACGCUUCGUAUGUCAGGUGCACUACCUUGCACUUGAUGGCUUCUGUAAAUCGUGCCCGUGCGAUCUUGUCCACGAAAAUAUCGGACGAAAUCUUUCUCAUGAGUUUGUUCUGGCUAAUGGUAAGCCGCACCCUUUGUUUUGUUGAAAUAUGGUAAUUCAGUUGCUUCGAUGUCAA